rnacentral:tRNA from 1 species
CAGAAUAUAGCUUAGUUUAGAAAAGCACCUCCCUUACACCGAGGAUACAUCCGUGCAAACCGGAUUACUCUGA